rnacentral:rRNA from 1 species
GGUUAAGCGACUAAGCGUACACGGUGGAUGCCCUGGCAGUCAGAGGCGAUGAAGGACGUGCUAAUCUGCGAUAAGCGUCGGUAAGGUGAUAUGAACCGUUAUAACCGGCGAUUUCCGAAUGGGGAAACCCAGUGUGAUUCGUCACACUAUCAUUAACUGAAUCCAUAGGUUAAUGAGGCGAACCGGGGGAACUGAAACAUCUAAGUACCCCGAGGAAAAGAAAUCAACCGAGAUUCCCCCAGUAGCGGCGAGCGAACGGGGAGGAGCCCAGAGCCUGAAUCAGUGUGUGUGUUAGUGGAAGCGUCUGGAAAGGCGCGCGAUACAGGGUGACAGCCCCGUACACAAAAAUGCACAUGCUGUGAGCUCGAUGAGUAGGGCGGGACACGUGGUAUCCUGUCUGAAUAUGGGGGGACCAUCCUCCAAGGCUAAAUACUCCUGACUGACCGAUAGUGAACCAGUACCGUGAGGGAAAGGCGAAAAGAACCCCGGCGAGGGGAGUGAAAAAGAACCUGAAACCGUGUACGUACAAGCAGUGGGAGCACAGAGCAAUCUGUGUGACUGCGUACCUUUUGUAUAAUGGGUCAGCGACUUAUAUUCUGUAGCAAGGUUAACCGAAUAGGGGAGCCGAAGGGAAACCGAGUCUUAACUGGGCGUUAAGUUGCAGGGUAUAGACCCGAAACCCGGUGAUCUAGCCAUGGGCAGGUUGAAGGUUGGGUAACACUAACUGGAGGACCGAACCGACUAAUGUUGAAAAAUUAGCGGAUGACUUGUGGCUGGGGGUGAAAGGCCAAUCAAACCGGGAGAUAGCUGGUUCUCCCCGAAAGCUAUUUAGGUAGCGCCUCGUGAAUUCAUCUCCGGGGGUAGAGCACUGUUUCGGCAAGGGGGUCAUCCCGACUUACCAACCCGAUGCAAACUGCGAAUACCGGAGAAUGUUAUCACGGGAGACACACGGCGGGUGCUAACGUCCGUCGUGAAGAGGGAAACAACCCAGACCGCCAGCUAAGGUCCCAAAGUCAUGGUUAAGUGGGAAACGAUGUGGGAAGGCCCAGACAGCCAGGAUGUUGGCUUAGAAGCAGCCAUCAUUUAAAGAAAGCGUAAUAGCUCACUGGUCGAGUCGGCCUGCGCGGAAGAUGUAACGGGGCUAAACCAUGCAC